rnacentral:rRNA from 1 species
GGGUACGAUCAUACCAGCACUAAUGCACCGGAUCCCAUCAGAACUCCGCAGUUAAGAGUGCUUUGGCGAGAGUAGUACUAGGUUCGAUUGACCUCCUGGGAAGUCCUCGUGUUGCACCCC